rnacentral:ribozyme from 1 species
GUCCCCCAAGUGAUCGGCCUCCACGGUGGCGGGGGACGGGCAACGGUCGGAUGGUCCGACCGGCUGACGAUCAU